rnacentral:rRNA from 1 species
UACGAAGGGGGCGAGCGUUGUUCGGAUUUACUGGGCGUAAAGGGCGCGCAGGCGGUCUUGAAAGUCAGGCGUGAAAGCCCCGGGCUUAACCUGGGAAUUGCGCUUGAUACUCUGAGACUGGAGUACGGGAGAGGAGAGUGGAAUUCCCAGUGUAGAGGUGAAAUUCGUAGAUAUUCGCAAGAACACCAGUGGCGAAGGCGGCUCACUGGCCCGAUACUGACGCUGAGGCACGAAAGCGUGGGGAGCAAACAGG